CCGUAGCCCAAGAGAUCGGGAUAACACCUGGAAACAGAUGCUAAUACCGGAUAACAACAGAUGAUGCCUAUCAACUGUUUAAAAGAUGGUUCUGCUAUCACUCUUGGAUGGACCUGCGGUGCAUUAGCUAGUUGGUAGGGUAACGGCCUACCAAGGCGAUGAUGCAUAGCCGAGUUGAGAGACUGAUCGGCCACAUUGGGACUGAGACACGGCCCAAACUCCUACGGGAGGCAGCAGAC
rnacentral:rRNA from 1 species